GCCCGCAGCAGAGGAGCCUCCUCCCUGCCCGGCAUCCUGCAGGGACUGGGCAUGCACCUCCCGCAGCACAGUUACAAAUGCCCGUCUGACUCUGCUGGCAAAGGCAUGUUCCUCGUUGGUGCUGUGCACUUCCAGGGCUGUAUCCUGAACCAUGGUGAUGAUCUUCAUGAGCAAUCCUUCAAACUGACUGGAGUUGUGUCUCUGAGAAUUCCCCUGCACAUGCUCUCUUGACUGCUGCCAUGUAAGAUGUGACUUUGCUCUUCAUUCUCCUUCAGCCAUGAUUGUGAGGCCUCCCCACCCAUGUGGAACU